UGUUUGGUGGUUCAGUGGUAAGGACACUUGCCUCUCACCACUGAGUUCUGAGUUCGAUACCCGGUCAAGGAG